rnacentral:rRNA from 1 species
UGGGGAAUAUUGCACAAUGGAGGGAACUCUGAUGCAGCGACGCCGCGUGAACGAAGAAGGCUUUCGAGUCGUAAAGUUCUUUUAUAUGGGAAGAUAAUGACGGUACCAUAAGAAAAAGCCCCGGCUAACUACGUGCCAGCAGCCGCGGUAAUACGUAGGGGGCUAGCGUUGUCCGGAAUCACUGGGCGUAAAGGGUUCGCAGGCGGAAAUGCAAGUCAGGUGUAAAAGGCAGUAGCUUAACUACUGUAAGCAUUUGAAACUGCAUAUCUUGAGAAGAGUAGAGGUAAGUGGAAUUUUUAGUGUAGCGGUGAAAUGCGUAGAUAUUAAAAAGAAUACCGGUGGCGAAGGCGACUUACUGGGCUCAUUCUGACGCUUAGGAACGAAAGCGUGGGUAGCAAACAGG